rnacentral:rRNA from 1 species
GAUGAACGCUAGCGGCAGGCUUAACACAUGCGAGUCGAGGGGCAGCGCGGGUAGCAAUACCUGGCGGCGACCGGCAAACGGGUGCGGAACACGUACAGAACCUACCUUGAUCUGGGGCAUAGCCCGAAGAAAUUCGGAUUAACUCCCCAUAAUAUUAUUGGAUGGCAUCAUUUGGUAAUUAAAAAUUUAUUGGAUCAAGGUGGCUGUGCGUCCCAUUAGCUAGUUGGUAGGGUAACGGCCUACCAAGGCGACGAUGGGUAGCUGGUGUGAGGGCGCGACCGGCCACACGGGCACUGAGACACGGGCCCGACUCCUACGGGAGGCAGCAGUGAGGAAUAUUGGUCAAUGGACGCAAGUCUGAACCAGCCAUGCCGCGUGAAGGAUGAAGGCCUUCUGGGUUGUAAACUUCUUUUAUCUGGGAAGAAAACUACGGUUUCUACUGUAGCCGACGGUACCAGAGGAAUAAGCACCGGCUAACUCCGUGCCAGCCGCCGCGGUAACAC